rnacentral:rRNA from 1 species
AACGAACGCUGGCGGCAGGCCUAACACAUGCAAGUCGAGCGAAGCCUUCGGGCUUAGCGGCGGACGGGUGAGUAACGCGGGGGAACGUGCCCUUUGGUACGGAAUAGCCCAGGGAAACUGGGAGUAAUACCGUAUGUGGUCGAGAGACGAAAGAUUUAUCGCCAAAGGAUCGGCCCGCGUUGGAUUAGGUAGUUGGUGGGGUAAUGGCCUACCAAGCCGACGAUCCAUAGCUGGUUUGAGAGGAUGAUCAGCCACACUGGGACUGAGACACGGCCCAGACUCCUACGGGAGGCAGCAGUGGGGAAUCUUAGACAAUGGGGGAAAGCCUGAUCUAGCCAUGCCGCGUGAUCGAUGAAGGCCUUAGGGUUGUAAAGAUCUGUCAGUAGGGAAGAUAAUGACUGUACCCACAGAAGAAGCCCCGGCUAACUCCGUGCCAGCAGCCGCAGUAACAC